rnacentral:rRNA from 1 species
GACGAACGCUGGCGGCGUGCUUAACACAUGCAAGUCGAACGGAAAGGCCCUGCUUUUGUGGGGUGCUCGAGUGGCGAACGGGUGAGUAACACGUGAGUAACCUGCCCUUGACUUUGGGAUAACUUCAGGAAACUGGGGCUAAUACCGGAUAGGAGCUCCUGCUGCAUGGUGGGGGUUGGAAAGUUUCGGCGGUUGGGGAUGGACUCGCGGCUUAUCAGCUUGUUGGUGGGGGAGUGGCUUACCAAGGCUUUGGCGGGUAGCCGGGCUUGGAGGGUGAACGGGCAAAAUGGGGAUGGGGAUCGGGCCAGACUUCUAAGGGGGGGAGCAGGGGGGAAUAUUGCAAUAAUGGGGGGAGGCUGAUGGAGGAACGGCGGGGUGGGGGAUACGGGCUUCCGGGUGGAAACCGGUUUCGCUCAUGAAGAAGCCGUGUGUGACGGUAGUGGGUAAAGAAGCACCGGCUAACUACGUG